rnacentral:rRNA from 1 species
CGUAGGGUGCGAGCGUUAAUCGGAAUUACUGGGCGUAAAGCGUGCGCAGGCGGUUUUGUAAGACAGAUGUGAAAUCCCCGGGCUCAACCUGGGACCUGCAUUUGUGACUGCAAGGCUAGAGUACGGUAGAGGGGGAUGGAAUUCCGCGUGUAGCAGUGAAAUGCGUAGAUACGCGGAGGAACACCGAUGGCGAAGGCAAUCCCCUGGACCUGUACUGACGCUCAUGCACGAAAGCGUGGGGAGCAAACAGGAUUAGAUACCCUGGUAGUCCACGCCCUAAACGAUGUCAACUGGUUGUUGGGUCUUUACUGACUCAGUAACGAAGCUAACGCGUGAAGUUGACCGCCUGGGGAGUACGGCCGCAAGGUUG